CUCCGUAGGUGAACCUGCGGAGGGAUCAUUACUGAGUUACCGCUCAUCAACCCUUUGUGAACAUACCUUAACUGUUGCUUCGGCGGGUAGGCGUCCCCUAAAAAGGACGUCUCCCGGCCCUCUCCCGUCCGCGGGUGGGGCGCCCGCCGGAGGAUAACCAAACUCUGAUUUAACGACGUUUCUUCUGAGUGACACAAGCAAAUAAUCAAAACUUUUAACAACGGAUCUCUUGGUUCUGGCAUCGAUGAAGAACGCAGCGAAAUGCGAUAAGUAAUGUGAAUUGCAGAAUUCAGUGAAUCAUCGAAUCUUUGAACGCACAUUGCGCCCGCCAGCAUUCUGGCGGGCAUGCCUGUUCGAGCGUCAUUUCAACCCUCAAGCUCUGCUUGGUGUUGGGGCUCUACGGUUGACGUAGGCCCUUAAAGGUAGUGGCGGACCCUCUCGGAGCCUCCUUUGCGUAGUAACAUUUCGUCUCGCAUUGGGAUUCGGAGGGACUCUAGCCGUAAAACCCCCAAUUUUACUAAGGUUGACCUCGGAUCAGGUAGGAAUACCCGCUGAACUUAAGCAUAUCAAUAAGCGGAGGAAA
rnacentral:rRNA from 1 species